ACACAUGCAAGUCGAACGGUAACAGGAAGAAGCUUGCUUCUUUGCUGACUAGUCGCGGACGGGUGAGUAAUGUCUGGGAAACUGCCUGAUGGAGGGGGAUAACUACUGGAAACGGUAGCUAAUACCGCAUAACGUCGCAAGACCAAAGAGGGGGACCUUCGGGCCUCUUGCCAUCGGAUGUGCCCAGAUGGGAUUAGCUAGUAGGUGGGGUAACGGCUCACCUAGGCGACGAUCCCUAGCUGGUCUGAGAGGAUGACCAGCCACACUGGAACUGAGACACGGUCCAGACUCCUACGGGAGGCAGCAGUGGG
rnacentral:sRNA from 1 species